rnacentral:rRNA from 1 species
UAGGGCUUCACACGUCAUACAAUGGUCGGUACAGAGGGUUGCCAAGCCGCGAGGUGGAGCCAAAUCCCUUAAAGACCGAUCGUAGUCCGGAUCGUAGUCUGCAACUCGACUACGUGAAGUCGGAAUCGCUAGUAAUCGCAGAUCAGCAUGCUGCGGUGAAUACGUUCCCGGGCCUU